GAGUGGCAGACGGGUGAGUAACAUGUAGGUAUCUUCCCUUUGGUGAGGAAUAACACGAGGAAACUUGUGCUAAUACCUCAUAAGUCUUCACGGAGAAAGCUUUAUGCGCCAAAGGAUGAGCCUGCAUUUGAUUAGUUUGUUGGUGGGGUAAUGGCCUACCAAGACGGUGAUCAAUAGCUGAUCUGAGAGGAUGAUCAGCCACAUUGGGACUGAGACACGGCCCAAACUCCUACGGGAGGCAGCAGUAGGGAAUAUUGCACAAUGGAGGAAAUUCUGAUGCAGCGAUGCCGCGUGAGUGAAGAAGGCCUUUGGGUUGUAAAGCUCUUUCGUCGGGGAAGAAAAUGACUGUACCCGAAUAAGAAGGUCCGGCUAACUUCGUGCCAGCAGCCGCGGUAAUACGCAGGGACCUAGCGUAGUUCGGAAUUACUGGGCUUAAAGAGUUUGUAGGUGGUUAAAAAAGUUGGUGGUGAAAUCCCAGAGCUUAACUCUGGAACUGCCAUCAAAACUUUUUAGCUAGAGUGUGAUAGAGGAAAGCAGAAUUUCUAGUGUAGAGGUGAAAUUCGUAGAUAUUAGAAAGAAUACCAAUUGCGAAGGCAGCUUUCUGGAUCAUCACUGACGCUGAGGAACGAAAGCAUGGGUAGCGAAGAGGAUUAGAUACCCCUGUAGUCCUGGCCGUAAACGAUGAACACUAGGUGUCGGGGGAAUCGACCCCCUCGGUGUCGUAGCCAACGCGUUAAGUGUUCCGCCUGGGGAGUACGCACGCAAGUGUGAAACUCAAAGGAAUUGACGGGGGCCCGCACAAGCGGUGGAGUAUGUGGUUUAAUUCGAUGCAACGCGAAGAACCUUACCAGGGUUUGACAUCCUGCGAAUCUCUUGGAAACAGGAGAGUGCCUUCGGGAACGCAGUGACAGGUGGUGCAUGGCUGUCGUCAGCUCGUGUCGUGAGAUGUUGGGUUAAGUCCCGCAACGAGCGCAACCCACGUCUUUAGUUGCCAGCAUUUAGUUGGGCACUCUAGAGAGACUGCCGGUGAUAAACCGGAGGAAGGUGUGGAUGACGUCAAGUCAUCAUGCCCCUUACAUCCUGGGCUACACACGAACUACAAUGCUACGGACAAAGGGCUGCAAGUUCGCGAGGACAAGCAAAUCCCAUAAACCGUGGCUCAGUUCAGAUCGUAGGCUGCAACUCGCCUACGUGAAGGCGGAAUCGCUAGUAAUCGCAGGUCAGCAUACUGCGGUGAAUACGUUCCCGGGCCUUGUACACACCGCCCGUCACACCAUGGAAGUUGGCCACGCCCGAAGCCGUUACUCCAACCCUUGUGGAGGAGGACGUCGAAGGUGGGGCUGAUGACUGGGGUGAAGUCGUAACAAGGU
rnacentral:rRNA from 1 species